GGGAUCUUUUGUUAGGGGUCUUCUUUGAGUUGGACAGCCUGUAGAAACAGGAAACCAAGUUAUGAACAGCUUUUAGGUCCAAACAGAGGGAGUAGUAAAAAGGCUAGCAGGGAAUGAAAGGAGCUAGUGAGAUUUUGUUGCCAUUUUUUUUUGUUUGUGUGUUUGUUUUGAUUGGUUUGCUUUGUUUUGUUUUUUGGUAGUUUGUUUCCUUUUUAAUAUUUAUUUAUUUUAGUCUUUACUUUUUUCAGGCUAUUGAGGAAUGCUCUCUGUCCCUCUUCUGACCAGCCCCUAAGUGUUAGACUUACAAAUGCCUUUUCUGGAGCUACACGAAUCUCUUACAGAAAAGGAGCUAGGUAUUGGAGACGAAAAAUAAAAGCAAGAACAUUCCAGUGGGAAGGACAAAGAUGGACUGAGAGGACUGAGAGCUUGAAUCAGGAGAAAAGAGAACAUGGAGAUGUCUAGACAGCCAAGUUCAGGAAGAAGUCACCUGUGGUCCUUUUUGAAUGAUUGGGAAGAAAAGAAUGGCAAAUAAGAGAUCCCUAUCUUUUGAUUGUAAAGGCACCUCAGGAAAGAGAGGAGGUAACUGAAUAUGCUAAACUCAGCCAUGCUUAGCAAAUGGUUUGAAAUUGGUGCAGAGCUGUGUAAUUAUGAAAUUUAGAGCUAAAAUCAGCAUAUGGACAUUGUGACUUUGAAAACACAGUCUUGGGCAUCAGACAUUUAUCCUGAGAAAAUUAGGCUUAUUCCAUUAGUGUUAUUGGCAUUAAUUGGAGUAGUGGGUUGAAAUGUUCACAAGCUGUUGUGCAGGUAGAACAUUUGAGAUGCCUGCAGUGUUUAUGGGGAUAAAUGAGGAGGGGGAGGUAUAACAGUUGUGGUGUGUGUCUGUAGAUGGCCAGUGAAAGGUUGUUCUGCCUAACUCUUUGCUUUUAGCUACUGUAACAGUAGAUCCAUCAGAUGAGUCCAGUUUUCCAGGUGUAAACCCUUACUGGCAUACGGAAUAUGUUGUUUUUCUGCUGUAAUAGUGCAAGAAUGGAUCACAUUCAAAGGGUAGAGUUGCUACCUCAACACUGAGGAUACCAAUGUUCUCCAUAACAUCCUUGUAUAUGUUGUUGAUAAGGAAUGGAUAUGGGAUUCCCAUUACCAAAACUGUUCAGUUAAUUGAAGUGCAUUUCAGCAAAUAUGAUAUAACACUAUAUUGAAUGCAUAGAUUUCUUUCACACAAAAGCUCUCCUUUUUUUGAGAUGCUUAAUUUGUGAACUAAGUGGUAACACCUGAAAUGCUUCUAGGCCAGCUCAUCUGAGAAUUAGAUUGGCCAAGAGAAAAUUUUGGCCUCAUUGGUAGAUGUCAGCAUCAGAAAUUCUGUGACUUUAAGCACUAGUGUUUGGCCUAGGAUAAAAGGAUUGAAAAGGCUGUGGAUUUCUGUUAUUUUCUGGAAGGUUUAAGCAUUAUAAUCAUGUUGUGCUCCUCUGAGACUUUGUCUGGCUGCAAAGAAGAGUUGAGGAAUCCUUUUUUUCCAUCCCAUUCCUGCUAUGUAAGGAAGGGCACUCUAGCUGUGCUUGGAAGUGUCUCUGAAGGGAGCACUGAAAAGUGUUCAGAAGAGCCAGAGAGAAAAGCACAGCUUGUCUGCUGAAGGGUUCUGUGCACAAUUGCUGAGAGAAGU